rnacentral:tRNA from 1 species
CGGGGCGCGGGCGACGAUCGUCAGGCGCGCGAUCGGCGCGCCUGAGGGGACGGUGAUGUCCAGCGCCCCGGGGUCGAUCCCCGGCGCCCCGGCCA